GAUGAACGCUGGCGGCGUGCCUAAUACAUGCAAGUCGAGCGAACAGACGAGGAUCUUGCUCCUCUGACGUUAGCGGCGGACGGGUGAGUAACACGUGGAUAACCUACCUAUAAGACUGGGAUAACUUCGGGAAACCGGAGCUAAUACCGGAUAAUAUAUUGAACCGCAUGGUUCAAUAGUGAAUGACGGUUUUGCUGUCACUUAUAGAUGUUUCCGCGCCGCAUUAGCUAGUUGGUAAGGUAACGGCUUACCAGGGCAACGAUGCGUAGCCGACCUGAGGGGGUGAUAGGCCACGCUGGAAGUGGGACACGGUCCAGACUCCUACGGGAAGCCGCAGUAGGCAACCUUCGGCAAUGGGAGAAAGCAUGACGGAGCAACGCGGCGUGAGUUAUGGAGGUCUUGGGAUCGUGAAGCUCUGUUACUAGGGAAGAACAACUGUGUAAGUAACUAUGCACGUAUUGACGGUAACUGAUCAGAAAGCAACGGCUAACUACGUG
rnacentral:rRNA from 1 species